rnacentral:antisense_RNA from 1 species
GGAAAGGGCAGAACCCGGACCAAGGUGAGGACAGCGGAACUGAAGUUCUGCUGGUUACCUCUCCUGCCCUCCGCUGGCCGCACUGGAGAAGACAGCCCCUCCCUCCUGCUCUGACCUGACAGUGUUCAUCCAUCGCCCUCUAUUAGGGAAGAACAACAUCAAGCUGGCUAGCAAGGAACUGUAUACAGGGUCCAGCUGGGUAUCACACUGGAUCUCACCCAAAGCUGAGAUGUGAUCCAGCUCAGUAUCACAAAGCAGAACGAAAAGGAUGUGUUCGGGCUGAGAGGCAAUACAUUGGCUCCGGCAGGACGGGUGACUUCUUCCGAGUCUGGCUUCUGCAGCACACAGGGCUUCGCCAGCACCCAGCUCCUGCAGCAUGGACAGCCCGUGUGACAGCAGGCGCCCACAGCCUGCAAAGCUUCUCCAGUGCCGCCUCCUCAGUGAACCGCAAGCAGCGGCACCUAGCAGCUUUCUCCACCACGCUCUUCAGGUAGUUCUGUAGCAGUGCGUUUCUCAUGAGACACUUCCCUGUGAGCAGUUUUUUCUACCCUUGAGGAUGGAUUUCCAGCAAGUUCUGCCCAUGUGGUACCACAGCCACUUCUCUGCCAUUCAGUGAAACUGCAGAUGUGCCCUCUUCACGGUCUGGAUCUAAGCCCAGGGACCAGGAAACCUCUUGCUUGAGUGCUGGAACUCAGGUCAGAAGGUAUGGCUGCUACUAUCUGCUGUGACCAAAGAGAAUCAGAGUUCUCUUUACUUCUUACCAGCCAACCUCUUGAAAAUGCCUUUUUUUUUUUUUUUUUUUUUUUUGAGACGGAGUCUCGCUCUGUUGCCCAGGCUGGAGUGCAGUGGCUCACUGCAACCUCCGCCUCCUGGGUUCAAGUGAUUCUCCUGCCUCAGCCUCCCGAGUAGGUGGGAUUACAGGCAUGUGCCACCACGCCCAGCUAAUUUUGUAUUUUUAGUAGUGACGGGGUUUCUCCAUGUGGUCAGGUUGGUCUCAAACUCUCGACCUCAGGUGAUCCACCUGCCUCAGCCUCCCAAAGUGCUGGGAUUACAGACGUUAGCCACAGCGCCGGGUCUAAGCCCUUUAUAGCUUAAUUCUAUAUAUUAAAUUUUCCCAGUUCAAA